rnacentral:lncRNA from 1 species
UUUUUGCAUGAGACUGUGAUAAUUGAUAUUCUAAUUUCAAAAUGAGUCAUGUGGUAGGAUGAAACAUGAUGGAAAGUGCAUCCGUGCUGAACUUUUAUAAGUAAACACUAUUUAGUGUGGAUAACAAAUAUGAAUUCUUGAAAAUGUUAAAUAUAAAAAUGAGAUAUUUGAGCCAUUAAAAGUGACCUGGGAAUGAUGUAAUGAAUCAAACAUGAGUUCUGACUAGCACAAAGGAUUCAAGGAAUUCAGGAGCUAUUUUAACUCUGUGUAUCAACCAGUCAGCCAUAUGUCCAAAAAAUUUUGCUGAACAGACAAAUAUCUGAUAUCUUCAUGUAAAUAUGAAGUCAAAUAAACAUGCCUAAAGAUUCAUCUGAGGAUAAGAUAGUGCAGUGUACACACACAACAAACAUUUUUUCACAGAGUGAGUCAUUCAUGUUGAUUUGCAAAAAUCAUAAAACAAAGAAUCGACUUUUGUUUUUUAUUUUGAUCUUGCAUAGGAAAGGUGAUGAAACAGUGUAUUUUUUUUUCUGAGGAUUAAAAACUGCUGAUGAAUCAUUAAAACCUUGGAAACAGUCAAAAUCCACAGGGUAAACCUCCAUAUUUCAGGAGGUCCUAAGGUAUGCAUGUCAAUAUCACAAGUGAAGCCAAUGUGGAAUUUUUGAAAUAUCAAUGCCAUUGACUCUCUGAACUUAUGCGAUGAGUUUUACAUGAACAAUGUAGUUUUAUUUAAAUUCUAAAGCAUUUGACAGUUUCUGUAUGAUCAAAAAUGU